CUUUCUGCUGGAAAACAGUCAGUCAGAGCGCUGUGGAAGGAACUCUGAAAGGAGAAGUAUUGAGUUAAAUCUGUUUCAAAAUCAAAUUCAGUAUCACAAUGGUACCAUUAAAAGCAGUUGAAUGGUACUUCACUGUCGAGAGUGAUCUAGCUUGAGGAGAUGCUGUCUUAGGAGCUUAAUUAUAUGUUGAAGAAAGACAUGUUUUUUUUUUUUAUUCUCACGAUUCUUGUAAGCAACGUGGAUAGAAUGCUUCCAUCAAAAAGGCAAUCAUUAAGUCUUCUCUGAUGUGAAGACCAUGGCAGACAGCUUAAUGUGCUCUGAUUGUAAUGUGAUUAGCACUUAAGUAACGCAUCACAAAAUAAUUUCUUUCUUUUUCUUUAGAGUGAUGCUAAUACCAUAAUAGCCACAUCACUCUGAUGGUCGCGGCUGUUCUCCAUGACAACCACAUGAGAGCAGCAACAGUCAGGCGAGACCUUCGUUGUUCUUUGCUGUGGUGAUUAGUCUAUUGAGUUUAGCAUGUGCGAAAGAAGUGCCUUUUGAAAUGACUGAUAGGGCUGUACAGGGUCGUGCAAAAUUCUAAUUGCUAUUCUGCUUCCUGUUUGCUACCUCAGUUGAAAUGCAAGUAAAAUCAAGAACUAAAAUGGAAUUGAAGAGCCAGCUUCAAUUCAAUUCUGGAAUGUUGCAGAACCCUGCUGUACAUACACAUAAUGUUGUAUUUCCAUGACGUAUCUGUAGAACGAGUUGCAGAACCCUGCUUUACAUAGCCUACACGUAAUGUCGUAUUUCCAUGAUGUAGCGGCCUAUCUGUAGAACGAGUGCAGUAAAUGGAGCAAAGAGUGUGUAAGCCCAGCCUCCAACACAUGCACCCGCCCUCGGCAGUCUGGUUCUAUCAGAGCGCUACACAUUAUCUGGAGCAGAGAAUCUCAGUACUUGAGUGGACAAUGCUCAACAGCAUUCUUCACACUCAGACCUUGUAAAAUUAAACCAACCAAGCCUAGGUCCUAUAUGAGAGUGAGAAAGAAUUGCCUAUCCAGUGGUGAGAUCCUGCUUUGUUGCCAGAACAAUUAGGAGUCUUUCCCCUUUGUUAUGUUCUGAGUCCCGAUUAUGUGGUCGGUGGAAAGUGAUCGAUGCUGGGGCUCAUCAGCUGUGAUGGAUCUACCUGAGAAAUGCAUGCAGGGUCAGGUUAAUGGAGACAUACGACUCCUCCACCCUUUCACCCACCUGCAUCCGUCACACCAAGCACCCAAGCCACAUUCACAGUGCAAGAUGCAAAGCAACGCAACAUGGCAUGUACAACAGGAUAACAGUACUUCCUUGACGUCAAACCCAUAACACUGGUGUUGUUAGCAUCUUGAUUGAUGAGCUGAACAACAUGAGGGGACACUGUGUUCAAGGAGAACUGAGCAGACAACGAUGGUAACUGAUGAUUAUGUAACCAGUGAAUCAUUUCAUAGGGACUUUUAAGGGCUAUACCGUUUCCAUCUUUAAAGGCAUGUGGAAGAGGACAUUUAUUUCUGGUGGAACAUCAUAGAGUUCUCUCUAGGUGUGUAUGUGUGUGUGUGAAUGAAUGUGAAUGCAGGUUAAGGCCAUCAUUCUCUGAUCUUACCACUGCUCCAGGGGGGUCGGGGGGGUCAGGUUGGAGAGAGAGAAAUGCCAGAUCCUAUUAAUUUUCUACGUUUCCCUGCUGCUUUUUUCUGAACCUUAUGACAUUGUGUGCAGUUGGAUUAAAAAGGUGCACUCAAGACUGUUCCUUGUGGCACUGCCGUUGGAUAAAAAGGUGCCCUCAAGACUGUGUUCCCUGGAACUGCUGAAAUACAUACAGAGGUAGAGGAUGUACCAUCUGUAAAAACUUUGAA